rnacentral:rRNA from 1 species
UACAGAGGGUGCAAACGUUGCUCGGAAUUAUUGGGCGUAAAGCGCGCGCAGGCGGUUUGGAAAGUUGGGUGUGAAAGCCCUCGGCUCAACCGAGGAAGUGCAUUCAAAACUACCAAGCUUGAGUACCGGAGAGGAUCGCGGAAUUCCCGGUGUAGAGGUGAAAUUCGUAGAUAUCGGGAGGAACACCAGUGGCGAAGGCGGCGAUCUGGACGGAUACUGACGCUGAGGCGCGAAAGCUAGGGGAGCAAACGGG